rnacentral:rRNA from 1 species
CCUACGGGAGGCAGCAGUGAGGAAUAUUGGUCAAUGGGCGAGAGCCUGAACCAGCCAAGUCGCGUGAAGGAUGAGGGUUCUAUGGAUUGUAAACUUCUUUUGUCCGAGGGUAAAGGAGUCCACGUGUGGAUUUUUGCAAGUAUCGGACGAAUAAGCAUCGGCUAACUCCGUGCCAGCAGCCGCGGUAAU